AGAGUUUGAUCCUGGCUCAGAUUGAACGCUGGCGGCAGGCCUAACACAUGCAAGUCGAGCGCGAAAGAUCUUCGGAUUGAGUAGAGCGGCGGACGGGUGAGUAACGCGUAGGAAUCUACCCAGUAGUGGGGGACAACUCGGGGAAACUCGAGCUAAUACCGCAUACGCCCUACGGGGGAAAGCGGGGGAUCUUCGGACCUCGCGCUAUUGGAGGAGCCUGCGUUGGAUUAGCUAGUUGGUGGGGUAAAGGCCUACCAAGGCGACGAUCCAUAGCUGGUCUGAGAGGAUGAUCAGCCACACCGGGACUGAGACACGGCCCGGACUCCUACGGGAGGCAGCAGUGGGGAAUAUUGCGCAAUGGGCGAAAGCCUGACGCAGCCAUGCCGCGUGUGUGAAGAAGGCCUUCGGGUUGUAAAGCACUUUCACUUGGGAGGAAAAGUUCGUAGCUAAUACCUGCGAACCUUGACGUUACCUUGAGAAGAAGCACCGGCUAACUCCGUGCCAGCCGCCGCGGUAAUUC
rnacentral:rRNA from 1 species